GAUGAACGCUGGCGGCGUGCGUAACACAUGCAAGUUGAACGACGAUGCCAUGAAGUGGUAACACGGAGUGGUAUACGGAGUAGCGGACGGGUGAGUAAAGCAUGAGAAUCUGUCCUGCCGAGGGGGAUAACGUUCGGAAACGGACCCUAAUACCCCAUAGUCCGAGAGGUUAAAGCGGAGACGCGCGGCAGGAGGAGCUCGUGUCCUAUCAGCUAGUUGGUGAGGUAAGGGCUCACCAAGGCUUCGACGGGUAGCCGGCCUGAGAGGGUGACCGGCCACACUGGAACUGAGAAACGGUCCAGACUCCUACGGGAGGCAGCAGUGGGGAAUAUUGGGCAAUGGGAGGAAUCCUGACCCAGCGACGCUGCGUGAACGAAGACGGCCUUCGGGUUGUAAAGUUCUUUUAUGUGGGAAGAAUUAAGUGACG
rnacentral:rRNA from 1 species